CCGGUCGCUUCCGGGUCAGAGGGUGCGCGGGACGGAAGUAGCGUCACCGUCGCUAUGGCGCCCGUGGUACAUGGUGCCGUUUCUGCUCAAUCAAGGUGGAUCUCUCCUCUUCUACCUCACCUUGGCAUCCGCAGAUCUGUCCCUGGCAGUACCGCUCUGUAACUCCCUGGCUUUGAUAGUCACGCUGGUGACUGGGAGGCUUCUGGGAGAGGACAUUGGUGGUAAAAGGGCUGUGGUGGGAAUGCUGCUCACCAUCCUAGGAGUCACGCUCUGUGUAGCUGGUUCAUGAACAAG